GGUAAUAUGGCCGAGCAUAGGCGAUAAAUUGUAAAUUUAUUCACGAGAUUAAUUUUCUGUUACCA
rnacentral:tRNA from 1 species